UGGGGAAUAUUGGACAAUGGGCGAAAGCCUGAUCCAGCCAUGCCGCGUGUGUGAAGAAGGCCUUUCGGUUGUAAAGCACUUUAAGCGAGGAGGAGGCUACUUGGAUUAAUACUCUAGGAUAGUGGACGUUACUCGCAGAAUAAGCACCGGCUAACUCUGUGCCAGCAGCCGCGGUAAUACAGAGGGUGCGAGCGUUAAUCGGAUUUACUGGGCGUAAAGCGUGCGUAGGCGGCUUCUUAAGUCGGAUGUGAAAUCCCUGAGCUUAACUUAGGAAUUGCAUUCGAUACUGGGAAGCUAGAGUAUGGGAGAGGAUGGUAGAAUUCCAGGUGUAGCGGUGAAAUGCGUAGAGAUCUGGAGGAAUACCGAUGGCGAAGGCAGCCAUCUGGCCUAAUACUGACGCUGAGGUACGAAAGCAUGGGGAGCAAACAG
rnacentral:rRNA from 1 species